rnacentral:rRNA from 1 species
UUGAAAGGGAAACGAUUGAAGUCAGUCGUACCGACGAGAAAUCAGCUUUUCGAAUGUGCAUUUGUGGGCGUAUGAGAUCUUCAUUGUUUGCAAUAUGUAUGUUUCUUUGGUGUACUUUUUCGUAUGGUAGGUCAACGUCGGUUUUGAUCGCCAUAAAAUGAUCGGAGGAAUGUAGCUUCGGCCUCGGUUGAAGUGUUAUAGCCUUUUGUAAAAUGUGGUGAUUAAGACCGAGGAUUGCAACGAAUACCCUUUAGGCUAUCCGUCUGACCUCUGAAAGUUACUUAGGUGCCGAAAGCUUGCUUACGGUCAUUUAAGUUGACAGUCAAUAGGUUAGAACGUGAUACAUUCGUAAGGAUGUUGACGUA